GCUAGCCUCAGUGGGAAAAGCCUGCUUGCAUUCACUCUAUCUAUACCCAUCAUAAUUUUAUACACCUCUAUCAAAUCUCCCGUCACCUCCGCAAAUUUUAUCACGCUCAAACCUCUGCCUUUACCUUGGUGUGAGUUGACGGAGGACCCACAUAAAGAAUGUUACAAUUAACGGCCAUUAAGUGAAUCACAUCUGGGUCCGCGCAGAGCAAUUCUUUGAAUUCCUUAGAAUGAUAUUUGUGGUAAUAUAACCUUAUGUGUUGUUUGUGAGUUAUUUGUACUGUGUUCUAUACUUUGGCAUGGAGGAACGUCGUUUAGCUUGGUGGUUAAAUUGUCAGGAGGCUUGACCCGAGCACAAAGCAGCAGAGAUGCCUUAGCAGUGAAUGAUAACUUUAAUAAUAACAAGCCACAAGGGGCCACAAACACCUUUACGCCCGCUUUGAAAGGGAGAAUGUGUGAAUCCCUGCAUCAUCUGGUGACCCUGUGACCCCUGUGUCAGAGCCUGAUGUCAGGACGUCUUUCAAGAAGAUGCCAAGGCCUGAUGAUGUGGCUCACAAAGCCUGCGCCAACCAACUGGUGGGGGUAUUCCAGGACACCGUCAAUCUCUCACUUCAGCAUUCGGAGGUUCCACCUGCUUCAAACGAGCAACAAUCACACCAAGAAGAGCAGGGUGAGCUGCUUCGAUGACUAUCACCCAGUGGCACUCACAUCUACCGUGAUGAAGGGUUUUAAAGGUUAGCUAUGGCCAGAAUCAACUCCUGCCUAAACAAGGAUCUGGACCUGCUGCAGUUCGCCUGUUGCCACACUGGGUCAACAGUGGAUUCGAUCUCACUCGGUCCUGGAUCACCUGGACAAUGGCAAUAUCAUCAUCAGGCUGUUGUUAAUUGAUUACAGCUCAGCAUUCAAUACUAUCAUAUCCUCAGUUCUAAUCAACAAACUCCAUCGGAAAUAACAUCUCCUCCUUAUAACCAUAUAACAAUUACAGCACGGAAACAGGCCAUCUCGGCCCUUCUUGUCCAUUUUGAACGCUUAAUCUCACCAAGUCCCACUGACCCGCACUCAGCCCAUAACCCUCCAUUCCUUUCCUGUCCAUAUACCUAUCCAAUUUUAUUUUAAAUGACAAUAUUGAACCUGCCUCUACCACUUCUACUGGAAGCUCAUUCCACACAGCUACCACUCUCUGAGUAAAGAAGUUCCCCCUCGUGUUACACUAAACUUUUGCCCCCUAACUCUCAACUCAUGUCCUCUUGUUUGAAUCUCCCCUACUCUCAGUGGAAAAAGCCUACCCAUGUCAACUCUAUCUAUCCCCCUCAUAAUUUUAAAUACCUCUAUCAAGUCCCCCCUCAACCUUCUAAGCUCCAAAGAAUGAAGACCUAACUUGUUCAACCUUUCUCUGUAACUUAGGUACUGAAACCCAGGUAACAUUCUAGUCAAUCUUCUCUGUACUCUCUCUAUUUUGAUGACAUCUUUCCUGUAAUUUGGUGACCAGAACUGUACACAAUACUCCAAAUUCGGCCUUACCAAUGUCUUGUAUAAUUUCAACAUUACAUUCCAACUCCUAUACUCAAUAAUCUGAUUUAUAAAGGCCAGCACACCAAAAGCUUUCUUCACCACCCUAUCCAUAUGAGAUUCCACCUUCAGGGAACUACGCACCAUUAUUCCUAGAUCACUCUGUUCUACUGCAUUCUUCAAUGCCCUACCAUUUACCAUGUAUGUCCUAUUUUGAUUAGUCCUACCAAAAUGUAGCACCUCACACUUAUCAGCAUUAAACUCCAUCUGCUAUCUUUCAGCCCACUCUUCUAAAUGGCCUAAAUCUCUCUGCAAGCUUUGAAAACCUACUUCAUUAUCCACAACGCCACCUAUCUUAGUAUCAUCUGCAUACUUACUAAUCCAAUUUACCACCCCAUCAUCCAGAUCAUUAAUGUAUAUGACAAACAACAUCUGACCCAGUACAGAUCCCUGAGGCACACCUCUAGUCACCAGCCUCCAACCUGACAAACAGUUAUCCACCACUACUCUCUGGCAUCUCCCAUCCAGCCACUGUUGAAUCCAUUUUACUACUUCAAUAUUAAUACCUAACGAUUGAACCUUCCUAACUAACCUUCUGUGUGGAACCUUAUCAAAGGCCUUACUGAAGUCCAUAUAGACAACAUCUACUGCUUUACCCUCAUCAACUUUCCUAGUAACCUCUUCAAAAAAUUCAAUAAGAUUUGUCAAACAUGACCUUCCAUGCACAAAUCCAUGCUGACAGUCAACUCUGACGCACCUCAACGAUUCAUGCUUAACCCACUGCACUACUCUCUCUACACCCACAACAGUGUGGCUAGGCACUGCUGAAACCUCAUCUAUAAACGCUGAUGAUGCAACUAUUGUUGGCAGAGUUUCAGGUGGUGAUGAGGAGACCUACAGAAGCGAGAUAGAUCAGCUAGUUGAGUAGUAUUGCAACAACAACUUUGCACUUAGCAUCAGUAAGGCCAAUGGAUUGAUCAUGGACUCCAGGAAGGGUCAGUUGAGGAAUAUACACUAGUCCUCACUGAGGGAUCAGAAGUGGAAAACAUGAGCAGUUUCAAGUUCCUGGGUGUCAAUUCUCUGGUGAUCUAUCCUAGACUCGACAUGCAAUUGCAAUUACAAAUAAGGCAUGUCAGCGGCGAUAUUUCCUUAGGAGUUUGAGGAUAAUUGGUAUGUCACCAAAGACACUGAGAUUUCUGCAGAUGUACUGUGGAGAGCAUCGGGACUGGUUGUAUCUAGUAUGGAGGGGCCGCUGCACGGGAUUGUAAAAAGCCGCAGAAACUUGUAAACUCUGUCAGCUCUGUCAAGAGUACCAGCCUCCCCAGCAUCCAGCAUUCAAAAGGCGAUGCCUCAAAAUGGUAGCUUACAUCAUUAAGGACCCCCAUCACUCAGGACAUGCCCUCUUCUCAUUGCUAUUAUCACAGAGGAUGUCCAGGAGCCUGAAGACACACACUCAACAUUUCAGGGACAGCUUCUUCUUCUCUGCCGUCAUACUGAUCCUAUUUCUAAAUGGACAAUGAACCCAUGAACACUAGCUCAGCAUUUUCCCCUUUCUUUUGCACCACUAAUGUAAUUUAAUUUUCUUUCUUUAUACAUACUUUGUAUUGUCAUUUAUAGUUUUUAUUAUUAUGGGUAUAUUUCAAUGCACUGCUGCUGUGAAACAACAAAUUUUACAACAUUUGCUGGUGAUAUUAAACCUGAUUCUGAUUCUGAAAACAAGAGAGAACCACUAUUAACCACAACAAGGCAGAAAGGUAACUGAAGGCUAAGAGAAACUGGUUGAAGCUUUCUGGUCAAUGGGUGAACAAGGACAAUGGGUUUAAAUAGGCUGCCGGAGAAAAUGAGUGAGUUGAGUUGAGUUUCCAAAUGAGUUGGAAAUGAGUGGCAGGUGACCCCCUGUUAGCUGGGUUGAGCUGACUUAGACCAGACAUUUCACUGGGAAAACCAGACGGCAAGUCUUGUCACAUUUGUAAACAUGCUAUAUUAGCACCAGAAGCAUGUUGCCAUUUGCGGGCUACCCCCAGCACAUCCUCGGACUGUGUCAGCCACUGACAUGUUUCACUGUACACUCAGUGGCCACUUUAUUAGGUAACUCCUGUAUCUAAAUAAGUGACCAUUGACUGCUUUUCAUGUUCUUCUGCUGUUGUAGUCCAUCCACUUCAAGGUUCAAUGUGCUGUGCAUUCAGAGAUGCUCCGUAAUGUGUGGUUAUUGGAGUUACUGUUGCCUUCCUUCAGCUUGGACCAGUCUGGCCUUUCUCCACUGCUGUCUCGCAUCAACAUUUUCACCCACAGAACUGCCACUCUCUGGAUGUUUUACUUUUUGGUUUUCACACCAUUCUCUGUAAACUCUAGAGACUGUGUAAAUGAAAAUCCCAGGAGAUCAGCAGUUUCUGAGAUGGUCAAACCACCCUGUCUGGCACCAACAAAGUCAAAGUCACUUGGAUCACAUUUCUUCCCCAUUCUGACGUUUGGUCUGAACAGCCAAACCUCUUGACUAUGUCUGCUUGCUUUUGUGCACUGAAUUGCUGCCAUGCCACUGGCUGAUUAAAUAUUUCUGUUCAUGAUCAGGUGCCAGAGUGUACCUAAAAAAGUGGCCACUAAAUGUAUUUCUGUGUUCUGACACGAACGUUACCACAGGGACAAAGGUGGAGUAGCGAUAUAAAAGGAAACUGUCUCAGCAAAACAGGCGAUGUUGCUGCCGCUGACCCGAGAAGAGCUUUCUCAGCGUUGAGAAAGUACAGACGACGUGCUGAUACAUGUCACCAGCCACAGGACUGCAGUAUGACUCUGAUGACAGGCGUGGAUAAUGUGAACAGCUGCAAUGAAUUACACAGGCCUGCCGUAUUGCAACUGAUUUGUAAACUUAAAGCUAUGAUACCACCACAAAAGGCAGGAUCUCCCAGCGGCCACCCAUUUCAAUCUGACUUCCCAUUCCAAUAUGUCUACUAAGGUUGGAGGAGCAACACCUCACAUUCCAUCCAGAGAUCCUGCCCGACCCGCUGAGUUCCUCCAGCAUUUUGUGUGUGCUGCUCUGGAUUUCCAGCGUCUUGCAUUUAGGAUACUGCUCUGAAGCAAAACGAUGGCAAGCCCUGCACCGUCCGGCGUCUGGCUCCUUUCCUGUAUCAUCAUUCCACGUCCAAUACCGUGGCGCUCCGGUGCGACGUCGGCAGCUCACACCGACGUUCCCAGUGGCCAGCGCUGCGUACUGUUCCCGUUUCAAAAUGCGCUUGUGGAAUUAUGGUGAGAUGUUCAGUUUCAUUAAUUGUUACAUUUUAGCUCAGGUUCGUGGGUCACCCUGACUGUAACCAGGGUGCAUCAUAAUCCCCUCCCCAAUCUGUAUGUGACUGAGCUGCUGCUUGUCACAAUAAAGAUGGCAGUUGAGUUAAACGAGCUCUUCUCUGUCAUCGUGGACAGAAUGCUCGCCACAUUGGCGUCAGAAGUGGGAUUAGAAACGGACAGAAGAUUGAAGAGCUACGACAUUGGAUGGAAGACCUUCAGACCCUGGGGCUGAGUCUCCUCCGCACCCCAGGCCGUGCUCCCAGAGUUUGGAUGCCGACUCACUGGGAGAGCCUGGGAACUGGGCAGUCCGGCGGGUUAUGGUCCCCGGCAACUGUGCAGUGAUGCAAGGGAAGAGAUGACUGCGUGUCGUAGAGGGGAAAAGCCCAGUGGAGCACGAGGUAUGCCUAGCCAACAUCCAGAACAUCUGCAUCAUUGGCCUGGACGUGCUGUCUUGCCAGGGACCCAUGUGGACGUGCUUGUUGCCGAAGCUGGUGCUCUCCGGCAGGGCAGCUCCAGGAAGAGGACCAGCUGGGUCCUGCACCAACCACCACCAGUCUCACCACGGCCCUCUGCUGUGCAGUACACCCCACAACAGCCAACGCAACACAGCAGAACCAGGGGCCACCAGGACUGGCCACUUCAGGGCCGCAAAGACGUUGGACAAGCUGCGGGGACGCUUCUAUUGGCCUGGGUGCAGGCGGGACGCCAGUCUAGGGCACCCAUGCAGUGGUACCUGGUGGGGGCCCCAGUACAGGUCUACUGCCCCACACUCAGAAGGAGAGACUAUCCCCCAAGCGUGGAAGCCACUGGAAGUGGUGGGGGUGGGGGGGGGGGAGAGGUCUGCAUCUCCGAUGUGGUAUACCGGAUGCAGUGGCCUGAGCAGUGGAAGGCAGUCGUACUGCACUGGGACCGGCUGGCACCAUAUCGGCCCUCUGCCAGGCUGAAGGAAGGAAGUGACACUCCGGGGCCCUGCCUCUUGCCUCACUAAACAGUGCCUCUCCUGGGGGGGGGGGGGGGGGGAGCUACAGACACUGCCAGUGCUCCAGGUGGCUGUGUUGACCACCAUCGGGACUUUUGAACUUUGUUGUGGACUCUGGGGUUGCUGGGGAGGGCUGAUCCCUCAGGUGGGGGCAGAGUGGCCAACAACUCACCUCAGCAUUCCCAGUGGCCGGCGCUACUUAUUGAUCUUGUGUUGAAAUGUGUUCACGUUCAAGUUCAUUUAUUUUAGCUCAGGUUAUACAGUUGUUCGCUUGUGUGUUUGUGGGUCACCCAGACUGUGACUGGGGUACGUAAUAAUCACCUCCCCUGCAUCUGUAUGUUGCUGAGUGGGUUCUCACCGAGUGAUGGCGCUCUGUCUGUUGUUGGGCUCGAGAUAGACGAGUUCUUCUCGUCUGUCAUCACGGACCGAAUGCUCGCCGCAAUACGAGG